UUGAUCCUGGCUCAGGAUGAACGCUAGCUACAGGCUUAACACAUGCAAGUCGAGGGGCAGCAUGGUCUUAGCUUGCUAAGGCCGAUGGCGACCGGCGCACGGGUGAGUAACACGUAUCCAACCUGCCGUCUACUCUUGGACAGCCUUCUGAAAGGAAGAUUAAUACAAGAUGGCAUCAUGAGUCCGCAUGUUCACAUGAUUAAAGGUAUUCCGGUAGACGAUGGGGAUGCGUUCCAUUAGAUAGUAGGCGGGGUAACGGCCCACCUAGUCUUCGAUGAAUAGGGGUUCUGAGAGGAAGGUCCCCCACAUUGGAACUGAGACACGGUCCAAACUCCUACGGGAGGCAGCAGUGAGGAAUAUUGGUCAAUGGGCGAGAGCCUGAACCAGCCAAGUAGCGUGAAGGAUGACUGCCCUAUGGGUUGUAAACUUCUUUUAUAAAGGAAUAAAGUCGGGUAUGGAUACCCGUUUGCAUGUACUUUAUGAAUAAGGAUCGGCUAACUCCGUGCCAGCAGCCGCGGUAAUACGGAGGAUCCGAGCGUUAUCCGGAUUUAUUGGGUUUAAAGGGAGCGUAGAUGGAUGUUUAAGUCAGUUGUGAAAGUUUGCGGCUCAACCGUAAAAUUGCAGUUGAUACUGGAUAUCUUGAGUGCAGUUGAGGCAGGCGGAAUUCGUGGUGUAGCGGUGAAAUGCUUAGAUAUCACGAAGAACUCCGAUUGCGAAGGCAGCCUGCUAAGCUGCAACUGACAUUGAGGCUCGAAAGUGUGGGUAUCAAACAGGAUUAGAUACCCUGGUAGUCCACACGGUAAACGAUGAAUACUCGCUGUUUGCGAUAUACAGCAAGCGGCCAAGCGAAAGCGUUAAGUAUUCCACCUGGGGAGUACGCCGGCAACGGUGAAACUCAAAGGAAUUGACGGGGGCCCGCACAAGCGGAGGAACAUGUGGUUUAAUUCGAUGAUACGCGAGGAACCUUACCCGGGCUUAAAUUGCAGAUGAAUUACGGUGAAAGCCGUAAGCCGCAAGGCAUCUGUGAAGGUGCUGCAUGGUUGUCGUCAGCUCGUGCCGUGAGGUGUCGGCUUAAGUGCCAUAACGAGCGCAACCCCUGUUGUCAGUUACUAACAGGUUCCGCUGAGGACUCUGACAAGACUGCCAUCGUAAGAUGUGAGGAAGGUGGGGAUGACGUCAAAUCAGCACGGCCCUUACGUCCGGGGCUACACACGUGUUACAAUGGGGGGUACAGAGGGCCGCUACCACGCGAGUGGAUGCCAAUCCCCAAAACCUCUCUCAGUUCGGACUGGAGUCUGCAACCCGACUCCACGAAGCUGGAUUCGCUAGUAAUCGCGCAUCAGCCACGGCGCGGUGAAUACGUUCCCGGGCCU
rnacentral:rRNA from 1 species